rnacentral:rRNA from 1 species
GACGAACGCUGGCGGCGUGCUUAACACAUGCAAGUCGAACGGAGAGGCCCUGCUUUUGUGGGGUGCUCGAGUGGCGAACGGGUGAGUAACACGUGAGUAACCUGCCCUUGACUUUGGGAUAACUUCAGGGAACUGGGGCUAAUACCGGAUAGGAGCUCCUGCUGCAUGGUGGGGGUUGGAAAGUUUCGGCGGUUGGGGAUGGACUCGCGGCUUAUCAGCUUGUUGGUGGGGUAGUGGCUUACCAAGGCUUUGACGGGUAGCCGGCCUGAGAGGGUGACCGGCCACAUUGGGACUGAGAUACGGCCCAGACUCCUACGGGAGGCAGCAGUGGGGAAUAUUGCACAAUGGGCGGAAGCCUGAUGCAGCAACGCCGCGUGCGGGAUGACGGCCUUCGGGUUGUAAACCGCUUUCGCCUGUGACGAAGCGUGAGUGACGGUAAUGGGUAAAGAAGCACCGGCUAACUACGUG